CAUAGGUGGUAGGGGAGGUGGCAGAGGAGGAGGUGGCGGAUUCAGAGGAUCGAGAGGUGGUGGCAGAGGUGGACGUGGUUUCAGAGGUGGUGGAAGAUGAUUACAAGAUAGUGAAGACCUGAAAUUGUGAUUGAUUCCUGCAGCUCUGCUCAUACUGUGACUAAUACCAGCAUAUAAAGUCCCGAUGCUGAUGAUACCUUUAACUUGGGGGAACAGUAAUUGUGUGUUAAGAAGCCACGGAAAAGCAGCUGGUCAUCAAUCUUUAUUUCGAAUUACAUUUUCAUUGCUGCUUCCCUUUUGCUGUUAUCAGUUCAACUAUGUAGCAUAACAGCGUUUCCUUUUCUGCAUUUUCUUUCCAGUCUAUUCCCAGUUUCCAUGCCUGCAAGUUGCACUGUAUUGUAACAGGAUACAGCCACUUUCCAGGACUUUGCAAAUGGCUUGUUUCGCAUAAAGCAAGAGACAUUCCUAGUUCAUUGAAUUGUUGCCAUGCCUGUAAGGGCUCUAAAUACCUAGUCAGUGGCAGAAGAGCAGUCACUGUGCAUCUGACCAUACCUCUUUGUAUAUUUGAUUACCCUGUAUAACACUGUCGUGUAUUAAACAGGAAAAUGAUAACUUCAUUAUCCAUUCUGAGUCUUCUUAAAUGUGGAGUAAAACAAACCUCGGAUUUGUCAGGCAGUCAAAAUGUCGAAUCUCAGUAGGAAGGAUUUUACAAGCAGUGUCCCCUUUCCCUUGAAAUGCAUAGUCCUUAGGCAUGUUGCUUUCUAAAUGCUGUUAUUUCAGAGUAAGAGUAGGAAAAUAGGGGAAGCUGUGUAUGGCCAACAUCUGUUUUAGACUUUUUAUUAUUUAUAUAAGUGUAAUGAAUCUUCAUUGUGGGCUAUUAGAAUAGCUUAGUGUACAAGGCAUUUAAUUUGGAGAAGUUAUCAGCGUGCAGAUGUGGUCCUUUAAACUCUGUCGGCAAGCCGCAUGACACUGAACUGAGUCACCACUAAAAACAGAUACUCCUCUGUACUUGGUCAUCAACUUUUAGAUGGCUUUUUUAAAAGUGUAAGCCAGUGGCAGGAGUUAAAGGAUACAUUUGUGUAUUGGAAGAUGGGAGGUAUUGUAAUUUGCUACACUGUUGCACUGUUGGGGGAAAAUACUCAUUUAAAGUUAGACUGCUUUUCUAAACAUGGAAGAUGCUUUGCUGCAACUUAACAGCCAUAAACAAAAAUGCAUUAGACUGUCAUUAAUAUGUGCUGAUUAAGAUUAAUACAUGCACAUUUUCAUUAAAAGGCACAGAUUAGGCACAUUUGUGCAUUGUGCUAUUUGUGGCAGAAUUGUUAAAGAACAUUAAAUUGUUGAAAGUCACAUUAAUGAAGCCUUUGUACGUUGCAGGUAUGAAUUCAUGUGUGUCACAUGCAUUAAAAUGAUUUUAAUGUAUUGUUUGGUAUAAUAAAUGAAACAAAAUGAGUCAGUAAAUAAGCUGAUAGCUCUAAAUCUUGCACUGUGUACAAAAAACUGACCUAUGUUUUUUUUUUUUUUUUAAAUAUGAACCAGAUACAAUUUGUUGGCCCCUGUUUGUUAAAAUUCUGAGUCAAAAUUUCAGCUAAAAAUGGAAGGAUACCUCAUGUUUUAAUAUUCUAAUAGUUUUGUGUAUUCUUCUAGAAGUAUUAUCUUUUUAAUGUGUUCAUUCUUAAAUUAAAAAAAAUAGUGUAAA